rnacentral:rRNA from 1 species
GCUUACUGCCAUUCCACACUGUCUGCGCCGGAUCUAGUCUGAUCUCAGAAGCUAAGUAGGGUCGGGCCUGGUUAGUACUUGGAUGGGAGACCGCCUGGGAAUACCAGGUGCUGUAAACU